CUCAAUGGUAGAGUACUCGGCCGGGUU
rnacentral:tRNA from 37 species